UACGUAGGGUGCAAGCGUUGUCCGGAAUUAUUGGGCGUAAAGAGCUCGUAGGCGGUCUGUCGCGUCUGCUGUGAAAACUCGGGGCUUAACCCCGGGCCUGCAGUGGGUACGGGCAGACUAGAGGUAGGUAGGGGAGAAUGGAAUUCCCGGUGUAGCGGUGAAAUGCGCAGAUAUCGGGAGGAGCACCGGUGGCGAAGGCGGUUCUCUGGGCCUUACCUGACGCUGAGGAGCGAAAGCGUGGGGAGCGAACAGG
rnacentral:rRNA from 1 species